rnacentral:rRNA from 1 species
GAUGAACGCUGGCGGCGUGCCUAAUACAUGCAAGUCGAGCGAACAGACGAGGAGCUUGCUCCUCUGACGUUGGCGGCGGACGGGUGAGUAACACGUGGAUAACCUACCUAUAAGACUGGGAUAACUUCGGGAAACCGGAGCUAAUACCGGAUAAUAUAUUGAACCGCAUGGUUCAAUAGUGAAAGACGGUUUUGCUGUCACUUAUAGAUGGAUCCGCGCCGCAUUAGCUAGUUGGUAAGGUAACGGCUUACCAAGGCAACGAUGCGUAGCCGACCUGAGAGGGCGAUCGGCCACACUGGAACUGAGACACGGUCCAGACUCCUACGGGAGGCAGCAGUAGGGAAUCUUCCGCAAUGGGCGAAAGCCUGACGGAGCAACGCCGCGUGAGUGAUGAAGGUCUUCGGAUCGUAAAACUCUGUUAUUAGGGAAGAACAAAUGUGUAAGUAACUAUGCACGUCUUGACGGUACCUAAUCAGAAAGCCACGGCUAACUACGUG